ACCGGUUUAUUUAUUUAUUUUUUACAAUAUAUGUAUCACAUUUUACGCUGGAGCAAUUUCUGAAUCCGCUGCCGGAGAACAAUUCUGGGAAAAGCGCUACUUGUUUUUAGAAGAAAAAGAAGAAGAAAAAAGCAACAGCAUAUUUGGGAGAGGAUGGUGAACUGGAUAUUGAGCCUAACAGGAAAAGAUUGAAGGCAGAGCGGCAAAAGUGAUGAGGGAAAUGGGAGAUUGACAAGAUCAGUAGGAGAGGACAGGAGGACCUAAAGAGGGUGGUGAAUACGGUAGUCUCAAAACUACUGACAGCCCUAUUCAUAAAGGCCUACUCAUGUGGGUGUCUGAGCCACUCUCCUAUCCUCUGACCCUUUCUAUAACUCACCCCAUUUAUUAAUGUUUUUCACUGUUUCUUCUUUUUUCUGCUCCAUUCAUACGGUAACUCCCCGAGAUUUGCACUCCUGACAUUGAAAUGAAAGUUGAUACCUCUUGUUUUUACCACUGCCUGCCACCCCAUUCCUACCACCACCGCCGCUGCCUGGAUCAUGGUCCCUUCUUUGAAUACGUUUACCAAUUCUUUGAGAUCAAUUUAAAGAUACAUCAUGAGCGAAACCCCAUGUCCCGUAUCAUCAUCUCCUCCCCAGAAAUGCAAAUUAAUUCGGUGAAUGUUUGCUUUUCUAGCACGUGAUUUGGUUGUGUAGAUCAAUCAUAUGUUUAGAGAAAAUAAUCAGAUCGGUUAAUUAAGCUUUUGUCCUUUUUAAAAGGUGCCU
rnacentral:lncRNA from 1 species